ACUCCUGCGGGAGGCAGCAGUAGGGAAUCUUCCACAAUGGGUGCAAACCUGAUGGAGCAAUGCCGCGUGAGUGAAGAAGGUCUUCGGAUCGUAAAGCUCUGUUGUUAGAGAAGAACACGUGCUAGGUAACUACUAGCGCCUUGACGGUAUCUAACCAGAAAGUCACGGCUAACUACGUGCCAGCAGCCGCGGUAAUACGUAGGUGACAAGCGUUGUCCGGAUUUAUUGGGCGUAAAGGGAGCGCAGGCGGUCUGUUUAGUCUAAUGUGAAAGCCCACGGCUUAACCGUGGAACGGCAUUGGAAACUGACAGACUUGAAUGUAGAAGAGGAAAAUGGAAUUCCAAGUGUAGCGGUGGAAUGCGUAGAUAUUUGGAGGAACACCAGUGGCGAAGGCGAUUUUCUGGUCUAACAUUGACGCUGAGGCUCGAAAGCGUGGGGAGCGAACAGGAUUAGAUACCCGGGUAGUCCCAUGA
rnacentral:rRNA from 1 species